AGCAGCCGCGGUAAUUCCAGCUCCAAUAGCGUAUAUUAAAGUUGUUGCAGUUAAAAAGCUCGUAGUUGAAUUUCGAGAUCAGUACGCUGGUCGUGCCUUCGGUAUGCACUGGUGUCACUGGUUUCUCCCUUCUGAAGAACCGUCAUGUCAUUAAGUUGGUGUGGCGGGGAAUCAGGACUGUUACUUUGAAAAAUUAGAGUGUUUAAAGCAGGCUCGCGCUUGAAUACAUUAGCAUGGAAUAAUGAAAUAGGACGUUUGACCCUAUUUUGUUGGUUUCUAGGAUCGACGUAAUGAUUAAUAGGGAUAGUUGGGGGCAUUAGUAUUCAAUUGUCAGAGGUGAAAUUCUUGGAUUUAUUGAAGACUAACUACUGCGAAAGCAUUUGCCAAGGAUGUUUUCAUUAAUCAAGAACGAAAGUUAGGGGAUCGAAGACGAUCAGAUACCGUCGUAGUCUUAACCAUAAACUAUGCCGACUAGGGAUCGGAUGAUGUUAAUUUUUUAAUGACUCAUUCGGCG
rnacentral:rRNA from 1 species